GGGGUUGUGGCUCAGUGGCAGAGCGCUCACCUAGCAUGUGUGAGGCACUGGGUUCGAUCCUCAGCACCACA
rnacentral:tRNA from 1 species